rnacentral:rRNA from 1 species
UACGUAGGGUGCGAGCGUUUAAUCGGAAUUACUGGGCGUAAAGCGUGCGCAGGCGGUGAUGUAAGACAGAUGUGAAAUCCCCGGGCUUAACCUGGGAACUGCAUUUGUGACUGCAUCGCUGGAGUGCGGCAGAGGGGGAUGGAAUUCCGCGUGUAGCAGUGAAAUGCGUAGAUAUGCGGAGGAACACCGAUGGCGAAGGCAAUCCCCUGGGCCUGCACUGACGCUCAUGCACGAAAGCGUGGGGAGCAAACAGG